rnacentral:tRNA from 1 species
GGAGAUGUAGUUCAUUGGUAGAGUGCUUGUCUAGCAUGCACAAGGCCCUGGGUUCAAUCCCCAGGACCUCCC